rnacentral:rRNA from 1 species
CCUACGGGAGGCUGCAGUGAGGAAUAUUGGUCAAUGGACGAGAGUCUGAACCAGCCAAGUAGCGUGAAGGAUGACUGCCCUAUGGGUUGUAAACUUCUUUUAUAUGGGAAUAAAAUGUUCCACGUGUGGGAUAUUGUAUGUCCCAUAUGAAUAAGGAUCGGCCAACUCCGUGCCAGCAGCCGCGGUAAUACGGAGGAACCGAGCGUUAUUCGGAUUUAUUGGGUGUAAAGGGAGCGUAGGUGGAUUGUUAAGUCAGUUGUGAAAGUUUGAGGCUCAACCGUAAUAUUGCAGUUGAAACUGGCAGUCUAGAGUACAGUAGAGGUGGGCGGAAUUCGUGGUGUAGCGGUGAAAUGCGUAGAUAUCACGAAGAAUUCCGAUUGCGAAGGCAGUUCACUGGACUGCAACUGACACUGAGGCGCGAAAGUGUGGGUAUCAAACAGGAUUAGAUACCCCAGUAGUC